AGGGCGUACAGUGGAUGCCUUGGCACCGAAAGACGAUGAAGGACGCGACUACCUGCGAUAAUCCUCGGCGAGCUGGAAGUAAGCUUUGACCCGAGGGUCUCCGAAUGGGGAAACCCGAUGCGCGUUAUGGCGCACCACCUGACCGGCCAAUACAUAACCGGCAGGAGACAACCCUGGGAAUUGAAACAUCUAAGUACCAGGAGGAAAAGAAAGAGAAUUCGAUUCCGUCAGUAGCGGCGAGCGAAAGCGGAAGAGCCUAAACCACCUUGAGUGGGGUUCGGAAUCACAUCAGUAUAAGUAGACACAAGGAGAAUUACCUGGAAUGGUAAGCCAAAGAGGGUGAAAGCCCCGUACCUGUAAAAAAGCUACUUGUCGUGAUUUCCAGAGUACGGCGGGACACGUGAAAUCCUGUCGGAAUGUGCGGAGACCACUCCGUAAGGCUAAAUACUCUUCGGUGACCGAUAGUGAACCAGUACCGUGAGGGAAAGGUGAAAAGAACCCCGGGAGGGGAGUGAAAAGAAUCUGAAACCGUAUGCCUACAAAAAGUCAGAGGGCGUUAAAGCCUGAUGACGUGCCUAUUGAAGAAUGAGCCGGCGAGUUAUGAACACAUGCGAGGUUAAGGAGAAGAUCCGGAGCCGAAGCGAAAGCGAGUCUUAACAGGGCGACAGUAUGUGUUUGUAGACCCGAAACCCGACGAUCUAGCCAUGAUCAGGAUGAAGUAAGGGUAAAACCUUAUGGAGGUCCGAACCGACGUUCGUUGAAACGCCCGCGGAUGAAUUGUGGCUCGUGGUGAAAUUCCAAUCGAGUCGGGUAAUAGCUGGUUCUCCCCGAAAUAGCUUUAGGGCUAGCCUUGGGACAUUGUUUAGUGGGGGUAAAGCACUGAAUAUGAGCGAGCCGCGCCAAGCGGUAUCAAUCAUAAUCAAACUCUGAAUCCCAUUAGAUGUACCCCAGGAGUCAGACUACGGGAGAUAAGUUCCGUGGUCAAGAGGGCAACAGCCCAGACCGCCGAUUAAGGUCCCUAAAUUCACGCUAAGUGUCAAAGGAUGUAGAGAUACUCAAACAGCUAGGAUGUUGGCUCAGAGGCAGCCAUCAUUUAAAGAAUGCGUAACAGCUCACUAGUCAAGUGUCUCCGCGCCGAAAAUUUACCGGGGCUAAGCGUGAUACCGAAAUCGCGGAUGAAUCCUAAAAAUUCGUGGUAGGGGAGCGUUCUGUUUGCAGUGAAGCCAUAUCGUGAGGAGUGGUGGAGCGUACAGAAGCGAGAAUGCCGGCGUAAGUAACGAUAAAGGGUGAGAAUCCCUUUCACCAAUUGACUAAGGUUUCCUGGGCAAGGUUCGUCCUCCCAGGGUUAGUCGGGACCUAAGGCGAGGCCGACAGGCGUAGUCGAUGGACAGCAGGUUGAUAUUCCUGCACCCGAGCACGCAGUGAUGCAAUGACGAAAACGGCUAUGCUCACCUCCGAUUGGAAGUGGAGGGCAGAGCGUAGGAGUCGAUUCCUUGUUAAGUACGGGAAUCAUUAAGACAAAGACGUGCGGUAUGAAAGUCGCGAGACGAGUAAGAAACAGCAGACGCCGAUUUCCAAGAAAAGUUGCUAACGUUAAACGUGUUCGGCCCGUACCGAGAACGGACACACGUGGUCAAGGAGAAUAUCCUGAGGUGAGCGAGAUAACUGUUGUUAAGGAACUCUGCAAAAUAACUUCGUAAGUUAGCAAGAAGAAGUGCUCCAGCGAUGGAGCCGCAGCGAAUCGGCCCAAGUAACUGUUUACCAAAAACACAGCUCUAUGCUAAGUCGCAAGACGAUGUAUAUGGGGUGACGCCUGCCCGGUGCCGGAAGGUUAAAAGGAGAGGUUAGGAGCAAUCCGAAGCUUUGAAUUGAAGCCCCGGUGAACGGCGGCCGUAACUAUAACGGUCCUAAGGUAGCGAAAUUCCUUGUCAGGUAAGUUCUGACGUGCACGAAUGGUGUAAUAAUUUGGGCGCUGUCUCGACAGCAGACUCGGUGAAAUCUUAAUACCGGUGAAGAUGCCGGUUACCCGCGACUAGACGGAAAGACCCCAUGGAGCUUUACUAUAACUUAAUAUUGAGUAAAUGCGAAUCUUGUACAGUAUAGGUGGGAGACUUUGAAGUCGGGGCGUCAGCUUCGAUGGAGUCGCCGUUGGGAUACCACUCUGGAUUUGCAUUUAUUCUAACUUCCUACCCUGGAUGGGCGGGAGGACAGUGUUAGGCGGGUAGUUUGGCUGGGGCGGCCGCCUC
rnacentral:rRNA from 1 species